rnacentral:rRNA from 1 species
GAUGAACGCUAGCUACAGGCUUAACACAUGCAAGUCGAGGGGAAACGAUAUUGGAAGCUUGCUUCCGAUAGGCGUCGACCGGCGCACGGGUGAGUAACGCGUAUCCAACCUGCCCACCACUUGGGGAUAACCUUGCGAAAGUAAGACUAAUACCCAAUGACGUCCAUAGAAGACAUCUGAAAUGGAUUAAAGAUUUAUCGGUGAUGGAUGGGGAUGCGUCUGAUUAGCUUGUUGGCGGGGUAACGGCCCACCAAGGCGACGAUCAGUAGGGGUUCGGAGAGGAAGGUCCCCCACAGUGGAACUGAGACACGGGCCAAACUCCUACGGGAGGCAGCAGUGGGAAAUAUUGGUCAAUGGGCGAGAGCCUGAACCAGCCAAGUAGCGUGCAGGAUGACGGCCCUAUGGGUUGUAAACUGCUUUUAUAAGGGAAUAAAGUGAGCCUCGUGAGGCUUUUUGCAUGUACCUUAUGAAUAAGGACCGGCUAAUUCCGUGCCAGCCGCCGCCGUAA